rnacentral:rRNA from 1 species
CGAAAGUGUGACAGGGCUAUCCCGAGUGCCAUCCGCUGAGGAAGGCUUUUACCCAGAUCUAGAACUGCUGGGGGAAUAARGAGAGGGCAAGUCUGGUGUCAGCCGCCGCGGUAAUACCAGCUCUCCUGCAGUGGUGUGSAUGUUUAUUGGGCCUAAAGCAUCCGUAGCUGGCUAAGUUAGUCCCUUGUUAAAUCCACCGAAUUAAUCGUUGGAUUGCGGGGGAUACUGCUUGGCUAKSGGACGAGAGAGGCAKACGGUAUUUYCGGGGUAGGGGUGAAAUCCUAUAAUCCCGGGAAGACCACCACGUGGCGAAGGCUGUCUGCUAKAACGCGCCCUACRGUGAGGGAUGAAAGCUGGGGGAGCGAACCGGAUUAGAUACCCGGGUAGUCCCAGCUGUAAACGAUGCAAACUARGUGUUUGAACGGCCACGUGCCGUUCUAGUGCCGCAAGGAAACUGUUAAGUUUGCCGCCUGGGGAGUACGAUCGCAAGAUUGAAACUUAAAGGAAUUGGCGGGGGGAAAC